UGCAGCAUUCUGUUUACAACUGAAACAGCAUGACAAAACAAAACAUGAACAUCACGUUGAGUUCUUGAUAAAUGGUAACGCGAUAUUAAAUAAUAUGUUUGAUAAACGUGUUUGCUUUAAUCUAUAAAGAAAUAGCAAACCUCUGCCUCAGCUAAUGUAGAUGGCGCGUUUCUAUGGCGACAAGCCUCCACCGCCUUUGGGUCAAGGUUGAGACAACAAAACAUACUGAAAAAAAAGCACGUUUUAUAUGAUUGAUGUUGCAAACCCCCAGUUGUGUGUUUCUCGGCCAAACACAGCUGCAGAAAGGAUCCUGAAGUGUCCAAUCGCUGCAUACAGAGAGGUCGGGCGUUGCUUGCCAGGUGAUUCUCAUCGCAUCUGAUUUCAGCACCACUCCGCUGUCCAGUAUCAAACGUUCGGCGAAGCCUGCUGGUGCAACAGCCCCCUGCUUGAAAUUGUAAUAAUACACAGCUGCAGUUGUGGCAGUGAAACAAAGCGCAGGAGAGCUGACCAGCUCAUACUAGAAGAAAAUGAUGAUGUAAUUCCUUACUGCAUUGCCACAGGUGAUGUGAAGAAACUGGUGGUGUUUUACACUUCAAGAGGACAGCUUAAAGAUGCUCUGCUUGUUGCUCAGGCAGCUGGUGAAGGAACCAUACAAGUCCCACAUACCUCCUCCACAAAUAGCGCCCUCGGUGCUGAUGGUACCAACAUGGACAAUUAUAAUGGAUUGUUACACAAAGUCAACAAAGAGCUUGCUGCGUGGUACUUCCAGGAUGGACUAGCAGUGCUGGCAGCAUGCUGCCACCUAGCAGUGGACAACAUUGAGAUUUCGAAGCUGUGGAUCGAUCUCUUGGGAAUUACGGUCAGUGAAAUCAGUCUCCUCUUCAUGGCUAGUUUUAAUCCUGAAAUUAAAAAAAGAUUUAAAUGUAUGUUUAACAAAUAUAACGAAAAACUAAAAAAAAUAAAUAAAAAAAAACACGCUUUCACAUAGGCACAUUUUAGUCCAGCCGUGGUUUCCAGUGCAACUCACAUUUUUGUAAAUCUUGAAAAAGAAAAUAAGAAAAAACUAAAGCUUGAUGUUUUUUUUUAUUUAUUUUUUUUAUUAGCAGUAGCAGAAUCAUCAAUGGUCCCCAUUUUCAACUGUUUUUUGGCUUGUACUUUAUAUUUCAAUUUGGAAUUUUCAAGGACAGUGCAUUACAUAAUGUUGCUGCUAGUUCCUGGUACUCUUAGUUUAAACUCACUGCCAUCAGAUCUACAGUGAAGGUACCAGGACAAAGCAGAUGAUUGCAUAUCCCAAAUUAACAUCAAAACAGUGAAUAAAACUAAAGACUCAGCGCAACAAAGCUAGCUAAUUCUAAAACAAGCUAGUAAGAAGUGUAAAGAAGUGUUGUUGAUAUUUAUGAUUCAUGGAGUAGCAUUAAGAGUGUCCUAGACUGGGCUGCAGACCAUCAGGAAAUGACUGUGCCUGGAUUCAAUGGAUUCAAUGCGCAACUCCUUAAUUUAAUGUGAACCUGAUGAAGUCAUGUUAGGUGUCGAAAUGCGUUGUUUGUUUUACUAUCUUGUUACUCAGAUCCUCCCCAUCUAUGAGCAGUGGGGUAGAAAGAAUUUAACUGCAGAGUUGCAGUUCACUGUCAUCCCCACUGGAAGUGUUAUGUUGCAUGUGGAACCAUUUUCAAACUAAUCAAGACAGACAAUAGGACUUCAAAACACACGUGUACCCUGAUCAUUCGUAAUAUAUUCGAAAUAUUCAUUUUUAUAAUGAUUUUAUUGUAGCCAUGAGUGAUUCAGGUGGCAGGAGCUAGGGCUCCUCCCCAUUGUGUCCUGUCAUUAAUCUCUGCCAAUCUCCCUAUUUAUACCCAAAGCCAUGCCCUCGUUCUGUCUUGCGUUUUCUGUUUUCCACCAUCCUCGCCUCCUCCUCCACUGUGCCCCUCUGUGUCUGCAAAUGUUGCUUCAACUCUGCAAUGGUCUCCCACUGGGGGUAAGUGAAGCUCACCUCCCAACCUUAGAGGCCCAGCCGCUAUGGCCUCAUCCUCUCCCAAGCAGGUUCUACGCAAGCCAGAGGGGACCCCCGGUCAAAUCUAUCAUAACUGUUUUGGUUUCCCAUUCUCUCACCUCUAGGUUCCUCUUGGGGGAAGUACCGGUUGCUUCCCAGCCUUGGAGGCUGAUUGGUUCUGUCUUAUCUCCCUGUACUCCUGUCCCGUGAAUAUGAUUGCAAAUAACAAAUAACAUAUCUAAGUCUACCAGUACUUGGAAAAUGUUUAUUGAAAUCUAACAAACUGUAACAUCUAGCCAGUGUAUUAUUUAGACACAAAAAUCAGUCUUGAAUCCUUGACCACCAGGAUCCUUUGGGAUGAGGGAAGAUAUGGACUGUAGAUGUAAUGUGGAAGAACAAACCUCAAAGUUCAUUUCUGAAGGGUGAAAAUCAUCAAUUGAGCCACACUGCAAGAAUUACACUCUUGAAAACCUUGAAGGCAAAUACUGGAGGUUGACAUUUCAGGAGUGUGGCCUGUGACCUGAACUAGUGUGCACUCUUAUGGUGGUUUUAGUAGUAUAUAGAAAGCACCCUGAAGGGCAUGUUGCUAAUGUUAAUUACCCAGAUUCAUUUUAUUAUGUAAAAUAUUUGCAUACACUAUAUAAAUACUGCUACCCUUAAACAUGGCAUAACUGGUAACUGACCACUAAUUAAUAUUACUACAUUCAACAAAUUAAGUUUACUCAGUAAUCCUCAUUGCACCAAUCAGAUAACGUCACCCCCAUUUCCAUCAUUAUCGAACUGGUUGUGGAGGGUCUACUGCCAUGUCCAUUUGUGGGUUUGAAGCUAUUCAUGUUUAUGCUUUCUUGUCACAUAAUCAAUAAAAAAAAUAAAUCUGUGUAAAUGUUUGUGUUGUGUUGAGGUUUUCCUGAACUACUGAAAAAUGCUGUGUAUAUAUAUUUAGAAUUUUAGUUGCAGCACGGAAGUCUGCUUACUGCAGAUCACCAAACUGAUGUGUAACUAAGUGUAGUAACAGCUGAAAUUUGUAUUGAAGAAUAUACUACCAGUGUUCAAUGACAAAUGAAAUACACAGCUCAAAAAUAGAAUAUGCAUAUCAGCUAAACAAAAAAAUAUAACAAACUUGUAUAUUUAGUGUCUGUUGGUGUGAAUGUGAAUCUAUCACUUGAUUACUGGGUGCCAGCUAAAUAGUAAUACAAGUCAA